GAAAAGCAAGCAAGCAAGCAAGCAUGCAAGAACCAAACAGAUGCAGAGACUACUUUCUAAUAAUACUGUGCAUAGGAUAAGCAUGAAGAUUUUUAUUGUAUACAUUUAUUCUGAAGCUGAUCAAUUGAGAGAUCACCAGCAAGAACAGUAGAUUUCAGGCUAAAGGAUUUGUUGAAGUGCGGAUGGGGGAGAGCCAAGCCCUUGCCUGGCUUAAUUCACAGUGAGGAAUCAAGACUACUUAAUGUAGUUUGGAGACAUAAAUACAUGCAGAAAAUGUUCUGUUUCUUCAUAUUCAUGUUUGCCUCAUCUCUUCUUGUUCUAACGAGAUAUUACAUACAGAGACAUAAGAACUGCCCUACUGAGCUGAAACCAAAUAACUUUGUACAUACAGCAGAUGUAAAGAAGAAAUCCCCUUUGAGACCAGAGGCUGCUCAGGAAAAAUUUUCCAAGAAUAAUUUCUCAUCACUUUGGUGUCCAUGAGCUAUUAAAUCACUGUAAAGGGAGCUGCUGACUAUGGGAGUCUGCUGGACAUGGAGCGCUGCAGGGAGCAUCCGAGUCCCCUCAGCAAAGAAGUGGGGUGACUGAGAGCACCAGGAGGAGAGAAACAGAUGACCUGGAAAGUUGGGAGGUAUAAAAAAAUGUCAGUCAGUGAGAAAUGAUUAACACCCAGCCAUUUUAUGCCAAGGACAGAGGGUUCUCUCAUGCAUUCUUGUGCAGCCCUGGCUGUCAGCUGAAACAUGCCGAGGAGCAGAAGAAAUGCUAUGCAUGGGCCUGAUCCAGAACAAGUGGAAUGGAGUGAGCAGAUUCAGGGGGUUAGAACUGGGCUUCCAUUGAAGGAUUAUAAAACAUUUUCUUUGAUUUGUUUCUUUGUGUGUGUAUGUAUAAAUCUUGUUAUUCCUGCUCUUCAGAAAUAAAAGAAAGAUGUGCCGAAUAGGCG
rnacentral:lncRNA from 1 species